rnacentral:rRNA from 1 species
UACGUAGGCAGCAAGCGUUGUUCGGAAUUACUGGGCGUAAAGCGCGUGUAGGCGGCCAAGCAAAGUCGGAUGUGAAAAGCCCUCGGCUCAACCGGGGAAGUGCACCCGAAACUGCAUGGCUAGAGUUCCGGAGAGGAUAGUGGAAUUCUCGGUGUAGAGGUGAAAAUUCGUAGAUAUCGAGAGGAACACCGGUGGCGAAGGCGGCUAUCUGGACGGUGACUGACGCUGAGACGCGAAAAGCGUGGGGAGCAAACAGGG